rnacentral:rRNA from 1 species
GUUCGGUCCCUAUCCGUCGCGGGCGCAGGAGAUUUGAGAGGAGCUGUCCUUAGUACGAGAGGACCGGGAUGGACUAACCAAUGGUGAACCAGUUGUUUCGCCAGAAGCACGGCUGGGUAGCUAAGUUAGGAAGGGAUAAACGCUGAAGGCAUCUAAGCGCGAAGCCCCCCUCAAGAUAAGAUCUCCCAUAGCGUAGGCUAGUAAGACCCCUUGAAGAAUACAAGGUUGAUAGGUAAAUGGUGUAAGUAUGGUAACAUAUUUAGCUGAUUUAUACUAAUAGGUCGAGGGCUUGACCAA